rnacentral:rRNA from 1 species
GUGGGGAAUUUUGCGCAAUGGGCGAAAGCCUGACGCAGCAACGCCGCGUGGAGGAUGAAGGUCUUCGGAUCGUAAACUCCUGUCAGUAGGGACGAAUGCCUCGCAAGAGGUUUGACUGUACCUGCUGAGGAAGCCACGGCUAACUCCGUGCCAGCAGCCGCGGUAAUACGGAGGUGGCAAGCGUUGUUCGGAAUUACUGGGCGUAAAGGGCGCGUAGGCGGCAUUGCAAGUCAGAUGUGAAAGCCCCGGGCUUAACUCGGGAAUUGCAUCUGAAACUGCUUUGCUUGAGUCCUGGAGGGGAUAGUGGAAUUCCCAGUGUAGCGGUGAAAUGCGUAGAUAUUGGGAGGAACACCUGCGGCGAAGGCGGCUAUCUGGACAGUGACUGACGCUGAGGCGCGAAAGCUAGGGGAGCGAACGGGAUUAGAAACCCUAGUAGUCC